rnacentral:rRNA from 1 species
UCNCCNUNUANUUUGAUCCUGGCUCAGAACGAACGCUGGCGGCAGGCCUAACACAUGCAAGUCGAGCGCACUCUUCGGAGUGAGCGGCGGACGGGUUAGUAACGCGUGGGAAUAUACCCUUUUCUACGGAAUAGCCUCGGGAAACUGAGAGUAAUACCGUAUACGCCCUUCGGGGGAAAGAUUUAUCGGUGAAGGAUUAGCCCGCGUAAGAUUAGAUAGUUGGUGGGGUAAUGGCCUACCAAGUCUACGAUCUUUAGCUGGUUUGAGAGGAUGAUCAGCAACACUGGGACUGAGACACGGCCCAGACUCCUACGGGAGGCAGCAGUGGGGAAUCUUAGACAAUGGGCGCAAGCCUGAUCUAGCCAUGCCGCGUGAGUGACGAAGGCCUUAGGGUCGUAAAGCUCUUUCGCCAGAGAUGAUAAUGACAGUAUCUGGUAAAGAAACCCCGGCUAACUCCGUGCCAGCAGCCGCGGCAAUACGGAGGGGGUUAGCGUUGUUCGGAAUUACUGGGCGUAAAGCGUACGUAGGCGGAUUGGAGAGUAGGGGGUGAAAUCCCAGGGCUCAACCCUGGAACUGCCUCCUAAACUAUCAGUCUAGAGUUCGAGAGAGGUGAGUGGAGUUCCAAGUGUAGAGGUGAAAUUCGUAGAUAUUUGGAGGAACACCAGUGGCGAAGGCGGCUCACUGGCUCGAUACUGACGCUGAGGUACGAAAGUGUGGGGAGCAAACAGGAUUAGAUACCCUGGUAGUCCACACCGUAAACGAUGAAUGCCAGACGUCGGGGGGCUUGCCCUUCGGUGUCACACCUAACGGAUUAA